GACGAACGCUGGCGGCGUGCUUAACACAUGCAAGUCGAACGAUGAGCCGGUUUCGGCCGGGGAUUAGUGGCGAACGGGUGAGUAACACGUGGGCAAUCUGCCCUGCACUCUGGGAUAAGCCCGGGAAACUGGGUCUAAUACCGGAUACGACACUCCGAGGCAUCUUGGGGUGUGGAAAGUUCCGGCGGUGCAGGAUGAGCCCGCGGCCUAUCAGCUUGUUGGUGGGGUAAUGGCCUACCAAGGCGACGACGGGUAGCCGGCCUGAGAGGGUGACCGGCCACACUGGGACUGAGACACGGCCCAGACUCCUACGGGAGGCAGCAGUGGGGAAUAUUGCACAAUGGGCGAAAGCCUGAUGCAGCGACGCCGCGUGAGGGAUGACGGCCUUCGGGUUGUAAACCUCUUUCAGCAGGGAAGAAGCGAAAGUGACGGUACCUGCAGAAGAAGCACCGGCUAACUACGUG
rnacentral:rRNA from 1 species